AUUGAACGCUGGCGGCAUGCUUUACACAUGCAAGUCGGACGGCAGCACAGAGAAGCUUGCUUCUUGGGUGGCGAGUGGCGAACGGGUGAGUAACAUAUCGGAACGUACCGAGCAGUGGGGGAUAACUAAUCGAAAGAUUAGCUAAUACCGCAUAUCUUCUGAGGAAGAAAGCCGGGGACCAUUUGGCCUUGCGCUGUUUGCGCGGCCGAUAUCUGAUUAGCUAGUUGGUGGGGUAAAGGCCUACCAAGGCGACGAUCAGUAGCGGGUCUGAGAGGAUGAUCCGCCACACUGGGACUGAGACACGGCCCAGACUCCUACGGGAGGCAGCAGUGGGGAAUUUUGGACAAUGGGCGCAAGCCUGAUCCAGCCAUGCCGCGUGUCUGAAGAAGGCCUUCGGGUUGUAAAGGACUUUUGUCAGGGAAGAAAAGGGCGGGGUUAAUACCCCGGUCUGAUGACGGUACCUGAAGAAUAAGCACCGGCUAACUACGUG
rnacentral:rRNA from 1 species